CAUAGGUUAAUGAGGCGAACCGGGGGAACUGAAACAUCUAAGUACCCCGAGGAAAAGAAAUCAACCGAGAUUCCCCCAGUAGCGGCGAGCGAACGGGGAGCAGCCCAGAGCCUGAAUCAGUGUGUGUGUUAGUGGAAGCGUCUGGAAAGGCGCGCGAUACAGGGUGACAGCCCCGUACACAAAAAUGCACAUACUGUGAGCUCGAUGAGUAGGGCGGGACACGUGGUAUCCUGUCUGAAUAUGGGGGGACCAUCCUCCAAGGCUAAAUACUCCUGACUGACCGAUAGUGAACCAGUACCGUGAGGGAAAGGCGAAAAGAACCCCGGCGAGGGGAGUGAAAAAGAACCUGAAACCGUGUACGUACAAGCAGUGGGAGCCUCUUUAUGGGGUGACUGCGUACCUUUUGUAUAAUGGGUCAGCGACUUAUAUUCUGUAGCAAGGUUAACCGAAUAGGGGAGCCGAAGGGAAACCGAGUCUUAACUGGGCGUUAAGUUGCAGGGUAUAGACCCGAAACCCGGUGAUCUAGCCAUGGGCAGGUUGAAGGUUGGGUAACACUAACUGGAGGACCGAACCGACUAAUGUUGAAAAAUUAGCGGAUGACUUGUGGCUGGGGGUGAAAGGCCAAUCAAACCGGGAGAUAGCUGGUUCUCCCCGAAAGCUAUUUAGGUAGCGCCUCGUGAAUUCAUCUCCGGGGGUAGAGCACUGUUUCGGCAAGGGGGUCAUCCCGACUUACCAACCCGAUGCAAACUGCGAAUACCGGAGAAUGUUAUCACGGGAGACACACGGCGGGUGCUAACGUCCGUCGUG
rnacentral:rRNA from 1 species